rnacentral:misc_RNA from 1 species
GAAUUGCGAUAAGUAAUGUGAAUUGCAGAAUUACGUGAAUCAUCGAAUUUUUGAACGCAUAUUGCACUCUCUGGUAAUCUGGGGAGUAUGCCUGUUUGAGGGUCAGUAAAAAUAAAACAAUAUCAUAUGUGAUCCUUUUAUAGGAUUUCAUGGAAUUGGAUUUUUCAAAGGUCUUUUUUGUUCCUUUGAUGAUCUUAAAUUUAUGUUAUGGCUAAUUAUUAUAGAUUGAACUAAAAAAGAGCAAUUAUUUAUAAUAUCUCGAAUUUUAGUGACAUUUAUAGGCCAAAUAUGAUUUUUUGGUGUUUAUAAAAUACCAAAGUUCAUAAAUAAUUUUUAAAAAUGACCUCAAAUCAGGUAAGAAUACCCGCUGAACUUAA